UCUAGAUUGCAGCAGGUAUCUUUCACAGAGCUGAAGCUUCUCCAAGGGAAUGAUUUUCCCUUUUUUUUUUCCCCUCAGGCAUUUCAAUAGGAAAGUUAAAAAUAAAUGAAACAAAUCAAUGCCUUUUGGCUGCUGCUGUUUCAGCUGAUGCCUCCUCUAGCAAAACACAAGCUUGAUAUGGUGCCUGAGAGCUCUUCACAAGAGAAAAUGGGCUUCUCCACACAAGAUUUUACAACUGCAGCCUUCCAUCCUUAUGAUUUUGAGUGAUGUUUUGCUUCUGAAUGUUUAUGCUUUCCAGCUAUGAGUGAAUAUAUGAAAUAGCUCUUCUGUGCAGUGGGAAGCAACCUAACGAGCCUGAGCUACACUGAGGGCACUGGAGGAGUUUACAAAUGUGUGGAGAGCAUGUGCUGAGCAACCCAGGGGAUACCACUCAAGGGAGUCCUCUGACAAAACUGGAGACAACAUUGUGCCUGGAGCAGAACAGAAAAUCAACCUAAGCAAAAAAAGGAGCAUCCUACUCUCCAGUUGAAUGCAUUUCACAGGAAGCCGGAAGAGGUUUUGGAUGGCAAAAUUGGAUAAGAGGAUUUACAUACUGGACACUUUUAGUAAAAAGAGACUCAGAAGAAGAGUACAGCCAGUCUGCUGCUCCACUGGUCAAGUACUGAUACCAUCAGAAAGCAGCAGCUCUAAACUGGAACUUGGCUUCUGCAUUUUAGAUCUGUGGAGACCAAAAACAUAAUCAGAGAGCUGAAGUUUCAGCAUCUGGGCACUCAUUAUGCAUCUUAUUCUCCAGGUAAAUACAGCCUCAUUCUGGGGGGUAAAAAAAAUCCUGCAUUCCAUACCCAGCAGCAGAGGAACACCAAGGAAACAUUAAGGAAGCCAUUAGAAGUCAAAACAUCUAAGCUGGAAUAGAGUUAUCAGAAAUUGCUAUGGCAAACUGAUGAGUGAUGGAGGCACAAAAUAAUGACAAUGGCUGGCAAACAGAAGUCAAACUGUCAGAAAAGGUGAAAUUACAGUCAAAGUCUCAGGCCUUCACAAAAUGUGGAACCCACACUCAAGAGAGAAAGUGUACAUUGGGACUUUUCCCCACCUCUCCUGAUUUCACAGGCUACUUCCCACACUGAGACACAAUUGCUGACUAUCUCUGCAGCAACUGCAACUGUUUCUUACAUACCAAACUUUGAAAAUAUUUUGACUUUCUUUGAACUGAAGGAGAUGUUGUUGUUUGGCAAGGCAAGUUACCAGGGGACACCGUUUGAGACCAUGCUCUGAAGCCCUGUUCUCUACCAGUUCUACCAAAGUGCACAUUUCUGUUGGGGCCCCAUAAAGAAGAUACAACCAAAUCAUUAUCCCGAGGUCUAUUUCUUUUCAUACAUAGAUAGAUACCUUCUAACAUUAAAUGGAUGUGACUGCAUAGCCUGCUUAUGCCCAGAGGAUAAGUGAUGAUCUUAAGAUUCACCAGCAUUGGAAGAGGCCAAGACAUUGGCACCAAUCCAUUUUUCUUCCCAAGAUGUGCCCAAAACAAGUCAGAAUUAACUCAGUUACAUGGCAGGGAGUCUUUAUACCUCCUUAUAUGCCCCUGUUUUCUUGACCUGAGAGGGAGACAUCAGGGUGGUGAGAUUUAAGCCUUCCAAGCUGGGAACUCACAGCAUUUCACAGACCCAAAUGGACAUGUGCUGAUGGGUGCAGGAGUCCAGUUACACAGUCUGCAGUCAGGUAAACAUAAAAUAUAAAAUAUAUAAAUUUAUAAAUAAAUCCAAGGGAAUAUAUAAAAUAUUCAAGGGGACUGAAGGUUUAUGAGUGGAUGCAGUGGAGCAGGAGGAUAAGUUGCUGUAAGUUGAGGUUCCCCAAGAGCUCAACCAAUCCAAGUCCUGCAAUUUACUUCUCACCCCAGCCACAAAUUCCAGCAAGAUGUUGUGAGCCAGUACCAGUCCUUGCUAUGAUCCUACUCUGAGCUGGCUCAAGGAGUCAAAUCAGCUAAAAAGCAACUCUGCAGAAAAAGCUGAGGUCUUUAAGAAGUUUAGUUCCCUGAACUGGCUCCUGACAUGACCAUGCAAAUAUCAGUGCUGGCAAGAAGAGAGGGAGCAAGGUGCAAGACCAAAGCUCCUACUUGGACCUGAAUCAAUUUGGACAUGAGCCCUUAAACAAAGAGCUAAACUAGUCUGUGUAACGUCACAAGCAUGAAAUAAUUCCCCAAACUGCUGCUCACAUUCCUAUUUAUGCAGCAAUCCCCUGCUUCAGAAGAGUGCACAAGGACACAUCUUUCUGAGGCAACAAACGUUUUUCUUCCAUGCUGAAUAAACCCAUUCCACACACUGCUCAAACACAACCUGCCUGACCCUUAAUUUAUUUACUGGGCCCAUAACCAGAAAUAAAAACUGAACUCUGAGGGCUCUUCAGCAGGGCUUGAACAGCUGACCAGAUCCCUGCCAGCCUUUACAGGCUUUUUGAAAGACAAAAAGAGCAUUCCAGUUCAACUCAGUUGAGCUUGCUAAACCACAGCAUUCCCAACCAAAUCCAGCAGGUUUUGACUCAGCACUAUUGUUCUUAGGCACAUGGUAGACACAACUUACUUGCUUCCCAUUUUGUUGUUUUGUUUUGUUCUAAAGAAUUGCCUCACAUUCCUCUCUAAUUCUUGGUGGUGUUUCGUGGGAUUUUGUGCUUUAAACACACAGCUGUCAGAACCAACAAUUCUUCUACAGAUAUUUCCCCUCUGUAGUUGUCCCUUUACUCUUUAGACACCGCAUAAUCCUAUAUCACUUUUGACUAAAAGAUAUGUGAUCCUUGACAGCAUCUUGGCCUUACUCCAUAAAAGCACACUGUUUUAUUUACUGUCCAUGUAAGCCUGCCUGGGAGUUAUAGAUAGAGAUAUAAGGCCUUUUUUAUUGCUAUUUCAUUUUGCAUUAAACAAUUUUAAUGCACAUCUAUCAAUUGUCCACCUUCAUUCCACAGGUCAACUGAUACUUUCCUACUUACUCUUUCCAAAGGCUUUUGAUUUUGCAAAGCCAGCUGUG